rnacentral:rRNA from 1 species
UACGAAGGGGGCUAGCGUUGCUCGGAUUGACUGGGCGUAAAGGGCGCGUAGGCGGUUCGUACAGUCAGACGUGAAAUUCCUGGGCUCAACCUGGGGGCUGCGUUUGAUACGUGCGGACUUGAGUGCGGAAGAGGGUCGUGGAAUUCCCAGUGUAGAGGUGAAAUUCGUAGAUAUUGGGAAGAACACCGGUGGCGAAGGCGGCGACCUGGUCCGAUACUGACGCUGAGGCGCGAAAUGCUAGGGGAGGCGAACGGG